rnacentral:lncRNA from 1 species
AGAGAAUAGAGAUGGUGAGAGAUUGUAUCAUAUGUAACUGUUGGCUCUUCAGGUUAUAACUUUUAAUUGGCAUGUUUUGGAGCUCCUUGGUACCCUAGAUAAUUCCUUGUGGAUGCGCUUUUUAUACUUUCGGCCAAGACUAGGUUCAGCAUGGAUUUUCAUUGUCUCCAAAAUAGGUCCUCUCUCUAAAAGAUAUGCAGCAAAUGCAUGUUCAUCUGCAGAGUCUUGAUAUCCUUUAAAUUCAAAAAUCUUGAGAUGUGAUAUAACACAAUCAGGAUCCUUCAUUGGCAGUUUCCAAUAAUUAGGUUCCUCAAGUUCCAAUGUGGAAACUUUCUGGCAACAAUAAACAAAACUUUUCAAAAUAUGAAAGCAAGUAAUGAAUGGAAAUAGACACACAGCUAAACUAGAAAAGAGAUCAUACCUCCCGGUUAUGAAGAGUGAGAACUUGAAGCAUAUUGCAGUUAUGAAGCAAUUCUAUCAUAAAUCCAGAGUCGAAAUAUGGAAUUUCAAUCAACUGUGUUGUAUGUGGACAAUCAAGCUGCAAUUGCAAUUGCUCAGAAUCCAGUCUUUCAUGGCAAGACUAAACACUUCAAGCUGAGAUUUUAUUAUCUGCGUAAAGCACAACAGGAGGAAGAGGUGGAGCUGAAGUAUUGCAAGACAGAUAAUCAGAUAGCUGAUGUCUUCACCAAGCCUCUUGCUGUUAGUCGAUUUAGUCAAUUGAUUCAUGAAGUUGGAAUGUGUCCAGGUCUCUAAUCCAAGGAGGAGAAAUGUUAGAUAAUAUAUUAGGACCUGAUAUUUAUUUAUUUCUGUUUUAUGCUUAUGUGUAUGAUUCAGUUAAUAGGGUCAAAGUCAUUAGUGGCCUCAGAGGCAAGUUAAUCUUUUUUGUUCAGAUAGUUUCUAUUUUUAAGGAAGUGGAGUCCUAUUCUUAAGGUAGUGGAGUGAGUGGUUAGUUUUUUUCUCUUUCUGUUAUUGUAUUUAACAGUUUAUUGAAUAGUGUCAAAUUGUAGUUUUUGCUUCUUCAGUUCUCUAGUGUUCAACUCUUUCUCUCUUUUUCUCUGAACAUACAACAAUUCGAGUGUGAGUUCUGCAAAUUCAUUGCAGGACAGUGAGUGAGAGUGUGUGAGGAUUGAGUGAAACAACAACAAUAAUCCGAUCAGACAAAUUAAUCCAUGUAAAAAGUAACCAAAGCUUCAACAAAUAUUUGAACAACACAAGUGACAUUGACGCAUGAAUCUAAGGCAAAUCAAGAAGAGAGAAUAGAGACGGUGAGAGAUUGUAUCAUAUGUAACUGUUGGCUCUUCAGGUAACUUUUAAUUGGCAUGUUUUGGAGCUCCUUGGUACCCUAGAUAAUUCCUUGUGGAUGCGCUUUUUAUACUUUCGGCCAAGACUAGGUUCAGCAUGGAUUUUCAUUGUCUCCAAAAUAGGUCCUCUCUCUAAAAGAUAUGCAGCAAAUGCAUGUUCAUCUGCAGAGUCUUGAUAUCCUUUAAAUUCAAAAAUCUUGAGAUGUGAUAUAACACAAUCAGGAUCCUUCAUUGGCAGUUUCCAAUAAUUAGGUUCCUCAAGUUCCAAUGUGGAAACUUUCUGGCAACAAUAAACAAAACUUUUCAAAAUAUGAAAGCAAGUAAUGAAUGGAAAUAGACACACAGCUAAACUAGAAAAGAGAUCAUACCUCCCGGUUAUGAAGAGUGAGAACUUGAAGCA